GGAUGAACGCUAGCGGCAGGCUUAAUACAUGCAAGUCGAGGGGGCAGCAAUGUCACCGGCGAAUGGGUGCGUAACGCGUAUGCGACCUACCCUUAUCAGGAGGAUAGCCCUAGGAAACUGGGAUUAAUACUGCAUAACAUAUGAACUGGCAUCGGUUUAUAUUAAAAGAUUUAUUGGAUAAGGAUGGGCAUGCGUUAGAUUAGCUAGUUGGAGAGGUAACGGCUCCCCAAGGCAAUGAUCUAUAGGGGCUCUGAGAGGAGUAUCCCCCACACUGGAACUGAGAUACGGUCCAGACUCCUACGGGAGGCAGCAGUAGGGAAUAUUGGUCAAUGGACGGAAGUCUGAACCAGCCAUGCCGCGUGCAGGAAGACGGUCCUCAGGAUUGUAAACUGCUUUUGAUUGGGAAGAAAUGUAGUCUUGCGAGAUUAUUUGACGGUACUAAUAGAAUAAGCACCGGCUAACUCCGUGCCAGCAGCCGCGGUAAUACGGAGGGUGCAAGCGUUAUCCGGAUUUAUUGGGUUUAAAGGGUGCGUAGGCGGCCAUUUAAGUCGGGGGUUAAAGGUAGCCGCUUAACGGUUUUACAUGCCCUCGAUACUGGACGGCUUGAGUUACUUGGAGGUAGCUGGAAUUCCCAGUGUAGCGGUGAAAUGCAUAGAUACUGGGAGGAACACCGAUUGCGAAGGCAUGUUACUACGAGUAAACUGACGCUGAGGCACGAAAGCGUGGGGAUCAAACAGGAUUAGAUACCCUGGUAGUCCACGCCGUAAACUAUGAUUACUAGUUGUUGGGUCGAUAGAUUCAGUGACCAAGGGAAACCGAUAAGUAAUCCACCUGGGGAGUACGUUCGCAAGAAUGAAACUCAAAGGAAUUGACGGGGGUCCGCACAAGCCGUGGAGCAUGUGGUUUAAUUCGAUGAUACGCGAGGAACCUUACCUAGGCUAGAAUGUGAGUGAAUUAUUCAGAGAUGAGUAAGUCUGCAAAGACACGAAACAAGGUGCUGCAUGGCCGUCGUCAGUUCGUGCCGUGAGGUGUUGGGUUAAGUCCCGCAACGAACGCAACCCCUAUAUUCUGUUGCCAUCAUUAAGUUGGGGACUCAGGAUAGACUGCCUACGCAAGUAGAGAGGAAGGAGGGGACGACGUCAGGUCAUCAUGGCCCUUACGCCUAGGGCGACACACGUGCUACAAUGGCAUGGGACAGAGUGCUGCGAGCCCGCGAGGGUUAGCGAAUCACAAAAAACAUGUCACAGUUCGGAUUGGGGUCUGCAACUCGACCCUAUGAAGCUGGAAUCGCUAGUAAUCGCAUAUCAGCCAUGAUGCGGUGAAUACGUUCCCGGACCUUGUACACACCGCCCGUCAAGCCAUGGGAGUUGGGUAGACCUGAAGCGGAAGGUAAAAUACUUCGUUAGGGUAGAACCAGCGACUGGGGC
rnacentral:rRNA from 1 species